UUUUUUUAUUGCUUUUAGGACAUCAAUACUGAAACAGGGCUUACCUCGCAAUUCUGUAAUGGAACAAGAAAAAACAAACUAAUAUCCUGUCCUAAAUUCCCGCCACUGCUACCAGUCCACAUUACCGAAUCUGGUACUGGUAAACAAGUCACAAUAAAUUCGUUUCCAGUGAAAAUUACAAUGGCCAUUUCAAGAAAGAUAACUAGAGCAAACGAACUGAUGGCUAUUACACUUUGGGACAAGUCACAUUACACUGCAAAGCUCCUUUACAAUGGAAGCUGAUACUUCCACGACGGAAUGAAAAACUGAUUGGUCGCUCAAAACCGCGAAGUGUUACCAAAUGGUUACACACAUACGUACCCUUUAUAUGCUAUGAUGUAUAAUGUUAAAAAAAUAUAUUGGUUAACACGUGCAUUUAAAGUUAACAGGCAACACAAUGAUGAGUUUUACUUGUUUGUGCUUUAGUGCGAAAGGACGGACAGAAGACGCAAAUUUUACGAAAUUUAACGAAUAAAUGUACUACACCAAUAGCCAUGUAAAAAACCUAAAUAACUUGAACUGAGAUACUUAAAAAUGCUUUAUUUUGUACAACUGAUUCUUUAACAUCGGAUUUCCCAUUUUUUGGCACAUUAUGAUCAAAUUUAUUAUCGCAAGUUAACUAAAAAAGGUUGUUCCAUUUUUUAUAUUUGAGUAUGUUUGUAUAGAUGAUAAUGCCGACGAUGACAGAAUAUUUCAAGCUGCAGAAAUUCUAAGCAACCUUCGUAACGCAAAUACAGGAAAGAGGACAUGGAGAAAGUAUGUGCCACACUAAUGAUCUUGAACAACAAUCUUGUGACUUGCCUUCUGUAAGUUCUGUUCAAGAAAAUAUGUCAGCUGACGCGGAAGAAGAUCAUACCGGUAAUAAUUAUAAUCGUAUAUUAAGAAUUGGUUUUUUUAUUUCCACGAAGAAAAUUG